CCUGUCCUGACCUUUCACAACCUCAAAUAAAAGUGUCCACUACUUCCAAAGUUAGAAGUCUUCCUCCGCCUGCGUGUCUCUUCUCUAAGCAAAAUCCAUCCCCACCCUCUAAAGGCCAACCAAACCAUCCUUCCGCUACCCUCCACGAACCCAGAGCAAGCACCCCUCAAUAGUGCACUACUCAACACACACCCAUUUAGCCAGAAUUCAAAGAAAACUACAAAUUUCUCACCCUUCUCAAUUUCAAGUUCCAGUCUGUCUUUGAGCACCAUGGAUUCUCACAUCUAUGGUGUCUCCGAGAAAACCCUUUUUCUCUUUACCCUUCUUUGUUUUUCCGUCGCCUCCAUUUCUGCAUUGCCCCACCAGAAUAGAACUGGCAAUAGUACGGUUACGGGUCAGAUGAUAAACUCCAACUCGGUUCUUGUUGCCCUCCUUGACUCGCAUUACACUGAGUUAGCUGAGCUCGUUGAGAAGGCUCUCCUUCUGCAAACCCUUGAAGAAGCUGUUGGCAAACACAACAUCACCAUCUUUGCACCAAAAAAUGAAGCUUUAGAGCGUCAACUUGACCCAGAAUUCAAACGGUUUUUACUUGAACCCGGUAAUCUCAAAUCUCUCCAAACCCUUUUGUUGUUCCACAUUAUCCCCCAACGGGUCGGAUCCAAUGACUGGCCGGGUCAUAAAGCAAACCCCACCAGGCACACCACUCUCUGCAACGACCAUCUGCACUUAAUCACCAAGAAUUCAGGCAAAAAGCUUGUCGGAGCCGCCGUGGUGACCCGACCGGAUGAUGUGACCCGUCCCGAUGGAGUAAUCCACGGUAUUGAACGCCUCCUAGUUCCACAAUCAGUACAGGAAGACUUCAACAGGAGAAGAAAUCUGAGAUCCAUAUCAGCUGUUUUGCCAGAAGGAGCACCGGAAGUAGACCCCAGAACCCAUAGAUUGAAAAAACCCGAACCACCACUUCGGGCCGGGUCACCACCGGUUUUGCCCGUUUAUGAUGCCAUGUCUCCUGGACCAUCACUGGCUCCCGCCCCAGCUCCAGGACCCGGCGGACCUCACCACCAUUUCGAUGGAGAAAGCCAAGUCAAAGACUUCAUACAGACGUUACUACACUAUGGUGGCUACAAUGAGAUGGCUGAUAUUUUAGUGAACUUAACCUCAUUAGCCACUGAAAUGGGCAGGUUAGUUUCUGAAGGUUACGUGCUGACAGUUUUGGCACCGAAUGACGAAGCCAUGGCUAAGCUAACAACAGACCAGUUGAGCGAGCCAGGGGCACCAGAGCAGAUCAUCUAUUACCACAUAAUUCCUGAGUACCAAACUGAAGAGAGCAUGUAUAAUGCUGUUAGGAGGUUUGGGAAAAUUGGGUAUGAUACACUGAGGUUGCCACAUAAAGUUGUGGCUCAAGAAGCUGACGGGUCGGUUAAGUUCGGGUCGGGUGAUGGGUCGGCCUAUUUGUUUGACCCGGAUAUCUAUACAGAUGGGAGGAUUUCAGUUCAAGGGAUUGAUGGGGUUUUGUUUCCUGAAGUUGAGAAAGAAAGUACUACUGUUAAGAAAUCCGUUAGCUCUGUUAAGGUUGCCACUACCACGCCAAGAAGAGGGAAGUUAAUGGAAGUAGCUUGUAGAAUGCUCGGAAGUCUUGGGCAGGAGUCGCAUUUCACCACAUGCCAAUGAACAUACACAGCAAAAAUCUCAAAGAGAGUAAAAAUGGAACCAUGAAAACAAUAGAGAAAAGGAAAGGCCUUUGUGAAAUAGAAACAGAAUGGGAGAGAUGAGAUUGCACUGUGUGAUUUCCUCUGAAUAAUCCCACCACCCAUAACAGAGUCUGUUGGUGUUUUGUUAUAAAUACUGUAAUUACACACCAUUUUUUAAUUAUUUUUCAUGUAUGAACAAACUUGGAAAGCUACCCUCUCUCUCUCUCUCUCUAUCUUCAUUUUUUGUUUUUUAUAAUGGGCUGUCCUCCUUUUGCCCUCAUAUGUUCCACAGCUCGUGAAUCAACUUGAAACUUUUUCCAAUUAUUGUAGUCUGGGAAAGAUGACCUGUAUUUGGUCUCGAGAUUUUGUUUGAUAAAUAAAAUGUUAAUUGCGGUGA